GACGAGCGCUGGCGGCGUGCUUAACACAUGCAAGUCGAACGGAAAGGCCCUGCUUUUGUGGGGUGCUCGAGUGGCGAACGGGUGAGUAACAUGUGAGUAACCUGCCCUUGACUUUGGGAUAACUUCAGGAAACUGGGGCUAAUACCGGAUAGGAGCUCCUGCUGCAUGGUGGGGGUUGGAAAGUUUCGGCGGUUGGGGAUGGACUCGCGGCUUAUCAGCUUGUUGGUGGGGUAGUGGCUUACCAAGGCUUUGACGGGUAGCCGGCCUGAGAGGGUGACCGGCCACAUUGGGACUGAGAGACGGCCCAGACUCCUACGGGAGGCAGCAGUGGGGAAUAUUGCACAAUGGGCGGAAGCCUGAUGCAGCAACGCCGCGUGCGGGAUGACGGCCUUCGGGUUGUAAACCGCUUUCGCCUGUGACGAAGCGUGAGUGACGGUAAUGGGUAAAGAAGCACCGGCUAACUACGUG
rnacentral:rRNA from 1 species